GAUCAACAGCCCACGUGCAGCCGUUGUCACCCAGCUUACAGCGGAGCAGGCAGAUUGCUGCCCUUCUGUCUAGGGAUCCCUGACAGCAAAACUUGAAGAGCUUUUGCUCAGCAAGGCAAAAAGUAAGUCAGUCACACAAUUAAGCAGCAAGUCAAGAAAGACAGUGUUGAAAGCUGUAAUAAAAAAUUCCUUCCAAGAAAUCCUAUGCUACUAGGUUUCCUCAGUGUGGUUAGAAAUGGCUACAGCCCUGGAGACCUGAGGAGAUCCAAACUGCCUUGCUGAUUGUGUAGCUGUGUCUGGAGAGGGAUGCGCUGCCUCCAAACAGCCUGGCACCGGGGCAGAUUUGGCAAGAGGCCAAGAUAUUCUCUGAGCCACAGCCAUUUUGGGGAUAUGUUCCAGGCAAACGUCAACCGGUUUCUGAGCUUCCUGUCUGGGUGACCGCAAGCACAAGGGAAGCGCUGAUCCCUCUGGGAUAGCAGUGCUCAGCGUGGGAUCUCCUUGUCUCUGCUUGCAGCUGCUCUGCAUUAAGAAUAAACUCACCUGAACCUAUUGACCCCGGUAGCAGUUUUGUAGCACAUUUCCAACAUUGCACAUCUUCAAGAAAAGUGCUCUAAGAAGUAUAAAAGCAGUUUCCUCCCUCUAUGAGGGAUUAAUUCUGGAAACUAAAGGUGGACGCUUAAUGACAGUGCUGACAGUGCCAAGUGCUUCAGACACAUUAAGCUAAUGUGCUUAUUCCACAAGCCUAAAUUGCCUCGUCUAUCCAACUUCAUCCCAUGGCAACUUCUAAAGCACAAGGAAGCAUUAGAAAAUCUACAGCUAAGUAAAAUCCAGGGUAGAGGAAAAAUACAGCAAAAAUCACAUUAAAAGUCAUAAACAAGGUGACUGCUGGUCACAGCCACAGAUCUGGUCCGAUCUGCUCCACCAGAUACAUUCAUUGUGUCUGUCUCCAGUACCUGAACUAUGUCAAGCUACAAACUAUGCAGAUUAACCAUGCUGAAGCACAGCAUCCGUAAGAGUCCUUCCCACAUUCAUUUUGGUACCUCAACAGGCUCAAGACCACCACAUUUCCAUCCUGCCCUAAUCAGAUGUUGCUUCUUGGGGGCAAACUGAGCUGCAAAAACAUGGGAGCAAUGAAGAAAUGUCAGGUUUAUCAGCUCCACCAAGUGAUCCCAGCAAUAUAGAGCCAAAGGAGGGGGAAGGUAUCCUCCUGGGAUCCCUGCAUCUUCAACUCUGGUAAUUUUUCCUUUUUUUUGGAAGUACAUAAUAACCCCCAGAACACAAACAAUUUCUUGCCUCACCUGCUUACAGAUGUUCUGAUUCCCUGUCUGCUUCUUCUCUUGAUAAUAUUUAUUUUUCUGAGACUUGCAUGCUGUGCCUGGUAACAAGUCUGGAUAUGAACACAUCACCUUCCCUACUCCCAUCAGCUCUGUUCCCAUGGGCUUGUCCAUCUUCCCUCCACACCCUGCCUCCUGUUUCCUCUCUCCUCACACAGAGACAAACAAACUGGCCUCCCCACCUCAGUUGCUGCUGCUCUCACAAGCACUCCAUCUAGUACAUCUUCGCCACAAUUGGCCAAGACACCUAUAGGAAUAGUGGCACAGAAGUGGACAGUACACGAGCUCAGCUUUAACUCUCCG